GUGCCAGCCGCCGCGGUAAUACCGGCAGCCCAAGUGAUGGCCGCUGUUAUUGGGCCUAAAGCGUCCGUAGCUGGCUGCACAAGUCCGUCGGGAAAUCCGCCCGCUCAACGGGCGGGCGUCCGGCGGAACCUGCGUGGCUUGGGACCGGGAGGCCUGAGGGGUACGAUCGGGGUAGGAGUGAAAUCCUGUAAUCCCGCUCGGACCGCCGAUGGGGAAACCACCUCAGGAGAGCGGAUCCGACAGUGAGGGACGAAAGCCAGGGUCUCCAACCGGAUUAGAUACCCGAGUAGUCC
rnacentral:rRNA from 1 species